rnacentral:pre_miRNA from 1 species
CCAGUAGCUCUAACAACAGCACUGAUCUUUCCAUAGUAAUUAGUAAGUGCUAUUUGUUGGGGUAGUUUGA